AGUGAACGCUGGCGGUAGGCCUAACACAUGCAAGUCGAACGGCAGCACAGUAAGAGCUUGCUCUUACGGGUGGCGAGUGGCGGACGGGUGAGGAAUACAUCGGAAUCUACUUUUUCGUGGGGGAUAACGUAGGGAAACUUACGCUAAUACCGCAUACGACCUACGGGUGAAAGCAGGGGAUCUUCGGACCUUGCGCGAUUGAAUGAGCCGAUGUCGGAUUAGCUAGUUGGCUGGGUAAAGGCCCACCAAGGCGACGAUCCGUAGCUGGUCUGAGAGGAUGAUCAGCCACACUGGAACUGAGACACGGUCCAGACUCCUACGGGAGGCAGCAGUGGGGAAUAUUGGACAAUGGGCGCAAGCCUGAUCCAGCCAUACCGCGUGAGUGAAGAAGGCCUUCGGGUUGUAAAGCCCUUUUGUUGGGAAAGAAAAGCAGCAGGUUAAUACCCCGCUGUUCUGACGGUACCCAAAGAAUAAGCACCGGCUAACUUCGUG
rnacentral:rRNA from 1 species